UAGGGAAUCUUCGGCAAUGGGGGGAACCCUGACCGAGCAACGCCGCGUGAGUGAAGAAGGUUUUCGGAUCGUAAAGCUCUGUUGUUAAGGAAGAACGAGUGUGAGAAUGGAAAGUUCAUGCUGUGACGGUACUUAACCAGAACGGGACGGCUAACUACGUGCCAGCAGCCGCGGUAAUACGUAGGUCCCGAGCGUUGUCCGGAUUUAUUGGGCGUAAAGCGAGCGCAGGCGGUUAGAAAAGUCUGAAGUGAAAGGCAGUGGCUCAACCAUUGUAGGCUUUGGAAACUGUUUAACUUGAGUGCAGAAGGGGAGAGUGGAAUUCCAUGUGUAGCGGUGAAAUGCGUAGAUAUAUGGAGGAACACCGGUGGCGAAAGCGGCUCUCUGGUCUGUAACUGACGCUGAGGCUCGAAAGCGUGGGGAGCGAACAGG
rnacentral:rRNA from 1 species